UACGAAGGGAGCUAGCGUUGUUCGGAAUCACUGGGCGUAAAGCGCACGUAGGCGGAUGUGUCAGUCAGGGGUGAAAGCCCGGGGCUCAACCCCGGAACUGCCUUUAAGACUGCAUCGCUUGAAUCCGGGAGAGGUGAGUGGAAUUCCGAGUGUAGAGGUGAAAUUCGUAGAUAUUCGGAAGAACACCAGUGGCGAAGGCGGCUCACUGGACCGGUAUUGACGCUGAGGUGCGAAAGCGUGGGGAGCAAACAGGAUUGAGAAACCCCG
rnacentral:rRNA from 1 species